GUCUGGUCUGAGUGCCGGAGUGUUUGCAACUAACUGAUUAUUUCUUUGUGCCUUCUCCACUCCCACUGCUUCACUUGACUAGCCUAAA
rnacentral:Y_RNA from 1 species